UGCAGCUGGCUGCUUUGUUCAGCAUCGAUCCCGUGGAGCUUGGCAUUUAACGGCCUGCAUUAGGACGGAGAGAAGGGAGAAAACAUUUUGUCAAUACUUCUAAUAAUUGAGGGUGAAAAUGACAAGAUAAGCUGGACCUGGAGCAAAUGUCUUUCGAGGUGAAUGUAGGCAGCGGCGGGUUGAGGGUACGCCUCCAUCCCCUCUUGGCAGCUCCAUCUCCUCCUCGCCUCCCCCUGUCUCUCCACCCUCUCCCUGGUUGGUUUCCACAGCUGUGGUGAGUGAGGGGCAGAUGACCGGAGAAUUGGCCCCUGGGAGAGCGCUGAGCCAUCCUGGUGCUAUUAGGCUCGUGGCUAAUAAUAGGUGUUUCAGACCGGGGGAAGAUCAAUCAGGGGGAAUCAUGGGGAAUGUUCAGAGCAGCGCUUUUUACACAUCGGCCCAGAUGGAUGAAAUUACACUUGUCAGUUUUUAGUUGCAUUACUCACAAAUUGGUUGUCUACUCUUUUUUCUCCCCCCCCCUCCCUCCCUCUCCCUCUCUCUCCCUCCCUCGCUCCCUCUUCUCUCCUUUCUCUCUCUUUGCCCCCAUUCAUGUGUCAGUGGCCCGCUAAAAGGAUUCGGUGGUGAAAUCCCUGUCAUUUUUGUCUUUUCCCUGUUUAGCCCUCAGCCGGCAUCUCUUUUGCCUGCAUGUAUGCACUUAGGAGAAAUCAGCAGAAGAUCUCGCCUCGGCCACUUUCAGUGCUGAAGUGCGCGCAACUGACAUUCUGUUCGAGUCCUGCAUGUAUAAUAAAAAAAACAAAAAAACAUUUAAUUGGAAAGAGAUCAACUGACAGAAAACGAAUGACGAUAAAUGUCAGUGAUUUUCCUUUCCUUUCCACUGCGAGGGUGUUCGGAUUUUUAUGUUUCCCACUGUAUGUAUGCAAUAUGAAAGUCUUUUCUUAGUUAAGAUCUAACACACUAACUGUUGUCAGUUCAAAGAUGACAUAAGAAUCCGCCCUGUAUUUUAUAGUUCAGAGUAAAAAUUUGGGCUUUCGAAUCAUUCAUUGCAUAUUUACAUAAAUUCUGUAGCUAAACCAAAUUGCUAAAUGUGUGAAAUUCAAUAAUUAUAUUGUUACUUCUGAAUAAUCCUGUAUAAUUGCAAUGUAAUUAAACCUGUCAAGUGCAAAUGAGACAUUCGGGCUGUAUCUCACUGUUUGAAAGUGAAUAAAAUUCACCAUGCAAUA